GUGUUCCCUUCCACAGCACCUGCACUAAAGUGGGAACUGUACAGAGAAGUCAGCAUGGCCCUGAGCAAGAAUGACAUGCAAAUUUGGGAAGUAUUCCAUAUUUUU
rnacentral:snRNA from 1 species